ACCUAUAGAAAGAGGCUGCCUUUGUUUUACUUGCGCGAACCACUCGCGCUCAUACGUCCAUCACUUAUUUAAGGCCAACGAGCUCACCGCAUUGACUCUCGCGUCUAUCCAUAAUGUUCACUUUAUGUGCGCGUUUAUGAGCCAGUUAAGGGAAAAGAUCCUCAACGACGAAAUAUAGUGAAGCACUGAAAAAGAAAUUU